rnacentral:rRNA from 1 species
AACGCGAAGAACCUUACCAAGCCUUGACAUCUGAGGAAUCUGAAUGAAAGUUUGGAGUGCCCUUCGGGGAAUCUCAAGACAGGUGGUGCAUGGUUGUCGUCAGCUCGUGUCGUGAGAUGUUGGGUUAAGUCCCGCAACGAGCGCAACCCCUGCGAUAUGUUACCAGCGAGUCAAGUCGGGGACUCAUAUCGGACAGCCCGGGAUAACCGGGAGGAAGGCGGGGAUGACGUCAAAUCAUCAUGCCCCUUAUGGCUUGGGCUACACACGUACUACAAUGGGCUGAACAGAAGGCAGCAAAAUCGCGAGAUGGAGCGAACCCCAAAAAGCAGUCCACAGUUCGGAUUGCAGGCUGCAACCCGCCUGCAUGAAGUCGGAAUCGCUAGUAAUCGCAGGUCAGCAUACUGCGGUGAAUACGUUCCCGGGUCUUGUACACACCGA